rnacentral:rRNA from 1 species
GAUGAACGCUGGCGGCGUGCCUAAUACAUGCAAGUCGAGCGAACGGACGAGAAGCUUGCUUUUCUGAUGUUAACGGCGGACGGGUGAGUAACACGUGGAUAACCUACCUAUAAGACUGGGAUAACUUCGGGAAACCGGAGCUAAUACCGGAUAAUAUUUUGAACCGCAUGGUUCAAAAGUGAAAGACGGUCUUGCUGUCACUUAUAGAUGGAUCCGCGCUGCAUUAGCUAGUUGGUAAGGUAACGGCUUACCAAGGCAACGAUGCAUAGCCGACCUGAGAGGGUGAUCGGCCACACUGGAACUGAGACACGGUCCAGACUCCUACGGGAGGCAGCAGUAGGGAAUCUUCCGCAAUGGGCGAAGGCCUGACGGAGCAACGCCGCGUGAGUGAUGAAGGUCUUCGGAUCGUAAAACUCUGUUAUUAGGGAAGAACAUAUGUGUAAGUAACUGUGCACAUCUUGACGGUACCUAAUCAGAAAGCCACGGCUAACUACGUG